AGCGUACACGGUGGAUGCCCUGGCAGUCAGAGGCGAUGAAGGACGUGCUAAUCUGCGAUAAGCGUCGGUAAGGUGAUAUGAACCGUUAUAACCGGCGAUUUCCGAAUGGGGAAACCCAGUGUGAUUCGUCACACUAUCAUUAACUGAAUCCAUAGGUUAAUGAGGCGAACCGGGGGAACUGAAACAUCUAAGUACCCCGAGGAAAAGAAAUCAACCGAGAUUCCCCCAGUAGCGGCGAGCGAACGGGGAGCAGCCCAGAGCCUGAAUCAGUGUGUGUGUUAGUGGAAGCGUCUGGAAAGGCGCGCGAUACAGGGUGACAGCCCCGUACACAAAAAUGCACAUGCUGUGAGCUCGAUGAGUAGGGCGGGACACGUGGUAUCCUGUCUGAAUAUGGGGGGACCAUCCUCCAAGGCUAAAUACUCCUGACUGACCGAUAGUGAACCAGUACCGUGAGGGAAAGGCGAAAAGAACCCCGGCGAGGGGAGUGAAAAGGAACCUGAAACCGUGUACGUACAAGCAGUGGGAGCACAGAGCAAUCUGUGUGACUGCGUACCUUUUGUAUAAUGGGUCAGCGACUUAUAUUCUGUAGCAAGGUUAACCGAAUAGGGGAGCCGAAGGGAAACCGAGUCUUAACUGGGCGUUAAGUUGCAGGGUAUAGACCCGAAACCCGGUGAUCUAGCCAUGGGCAGGUUGAAGGUUGGGUAACACUAACUGGAGGACCGAACCGACUAAUGUUGAAAAAUUAGCGGAUGACUUGUGGCUGGGGGUGAAAGGCCAAUCAAACCGGGAGAUAGCUGGUUCUCCCCGAAAGCUAUUUAGGUAGCGCCUCGUGAAUUCAUCUCCGGGGGUAGAGCACUGUUUCGGCAAGGGGGUCAUCCCGACUUACCAACCCGAUGCAAACUGCGAAUGCCGGAGAAUGUUAUCACGGGAGACACACGGCGGGUGCUAACGUCCGUCGUGAAGAGGGAAACAACCCAGACCGCCAGCUAAGGUCCCAAAGUCAUGGUUAAGUGGGAAACGAUGUGGGAAGGCCCAGACAGCCAGGAUGUUGGCUUAGAAGCAGCCAUCAUUUAAAGAAAGCGUAAUAGCUCACUGGUCGAGUCGGCCUGCGCGGAAGAUGUAACGGGGCUAAACCAUGCACCGAAGCUGCGGCAGCGACGCUGAUGCGUUGUUGGGUAGGGGAGCGUUCUGUAAGCCUGCGAAGGUGUGCUGUGAGGCAUGCUGGAGGUAUCAGAAGUGCGAAUGCUGACAUAAGUAACGAUAAAGCGGGUGAAAAGCCCGCUCGCCGGAAGACCAAGGGUUCCUGUCCAACGUUAAUCGGGGCAGGGUGAGUCGACCCCUAAGGCGAGGCCGAAAGGCGUAGUCGAUGGGAAACAGGUUAAUAUUCCUGUACUUGGUGUUACUGCGAAGGGGGGACGGAGAAGGCUAUGUUGGCCGGGCGACGGUUGUCCCGGUUUAAGCGUGUAGGCUGGUUUUCCAGGCAAAUCCGGAAAAUCAAGGCUGAGGCGUGAUGACGAGGCACUACGGUGCUGAAGCAACAAAUGCCCCUGCUUCCAGGAAAAGCCUCUAAGCAUCAGGUACAUCAAAUCGUACCCCAAACCGACACAGGUGGUCAGGUAGAGAAUACCAAGGCGCUUGAGAGAACUCGGGUGAAGGAACUAGGCAAAAUGGUGCCGUAACUUCGGGAGAAGGCACGCUGAUAUGUAGGUGAAGUCCCUCGCGGAUGGAGCUGAAAUCAGUCGAAGAUACCAGCUGGCUGCAACUGUUUAUUAAAACACAGCACUGUGCAGACACGAAAGUGGACGUAUACGGUGUGACGCCUGCCCGGUGCCGGAAGGUUAAUUGAUGGGGUCAGCGCAAGCGAAGCUCUUGAUCGAAGCCCCGGUAAACGGCGGCCGUAACUAUAACGGUCCUAAGGUAGCGAAAUUCCUUGUCGGGUAAGUUCCGACCAGCACGAAUGGCGUAAUGAUGGCCAGGCUGUCUCCACCCGAGACUCAGUGAAAUUGAACUCGCUGUGAAGAUGCAGUGUACCCGCGGCAAGACGGAAAGACCCCGUGAACCUUUACUAUAGCUUGACACUGAACAUUGAGCCUUGAUGUGUAGGAUAGGUGGGAGGCUUUGAAGUGUGGACGCCAGUCUGCAUGGAGCCGGCCUUGAAAUACCACCCUUUAAUGUUUGAUGUUCUAACGUUGACCCGUGAUCCGGGUUGCGGACAGUGUCUGGUGGGUAGUUUGACUGGGGCGGUCUCCUCCUAAAGAGUAACGGAGGAGCACGAAGGUUGGCUAAUCCUGGUCGGACAUCAGGAGGUUAGUGCAAUGGCAUAAGCCAGCUUGACUGCGAGCGUGACGGCGCGAGCAGGUGCGAAAGCAGGUCAUAGUGAUCCGGUGGUUCUGAAUGGAAGGGCCAUCGCUCAACGGAUAAAAGGUACUCCGGGGAUAACAGGCUGAUACCGCCCAAGAGUUCAUAUCGACGGCGGUGUUUGGCACCUCGAUGUCGGCUCAUCACAUCCUGGGGCUGAAGUAGGUCCCAAGGGUAUGGCUGUUCGCCAUUUAAAGUGGUACGCGAGCUGGGUUUAGAACGUCGUGAGACAGUUCGGUCCCUAUCUGCCGUGGGCGCUGGAGAACUGAGGGGGGCUGCUCCUAGUACGAGAGGACCGGAGUGGACGCAUCACUGGUGUUCGGGUUGUCAUGCCAAUGGCACUGCCCGGUAGCUAAAUGCGGAAGAGAUAAGUGCUGAAAGCAUCUAAGCACGAAACUUGCCCCGAGAUGAGUUCUCCCUGACUCCUUGA
rnacentral:rRNA from 1 species